GGAUCUGAGGCUUCAAAUUGCUCAAGGGGCUGCAAGAGGACUAGCGUACUUGCACCUAGCGUGCGAGCCUCAUAUCUUGCACCGAGAUAUAAAGUCUAGUAACAUUCUUCUUGACGAAAAUUUCGAAGCUCACUUAGCUGAUUUCGGUCUUGCAAGGAUUAUUCGGCCCUACGACACUCAUGUGACCACUGAUGUUGUCGGAACAUUAGGC
rnacentral:misc_RNA from 1 species